UGCUGUCCUCGUUUACUGCCACACAGAUGACUGACUCCACAGAGGAGGUCCAUAGGCAUCCUUUUGUCCAGUAUUUCAUAAUGUUAAAAAAAGCUACAGAGCUUUGCAGAAAGAUACAUAUAUAUCCUCCAGCAAGUGAAACAGUGUCGAGCUACUAGCCAACUCCCAUGUUAAUCUGGAAUAGGCAUGACAUCUAGGCUACCUCUGCUAAUUAGCUCAAUCCCUUUUGAGUACACCAGUAGACAAGUAAUGAUUGAACUGAAGGAAUGGGACUCUUUGGGAAUAACGGAGAAGAAAAGAUAGAACUUCACUCAGUCAAGCAGUGACCAGAGGAAUGAGAGACAAAGUUCUUAACACAGAAUGGAUAGCCCUUGCACUUUUUACUCCUAUGAAGAAAGAGGGAAUAAUAUAGGACAGAGAUUUUUGAUUUAUUUGCUUGACAGUAAAGAAGCUUGACACCGAG